rnacentral:rRNA from 1 species
UACGUAGGGUGCAAGCGUUGUCCGGAAUCAUUGGGCGUAAAGAGCGUGUAGGCGGCCCGAUAAGUCCGCUGUGAAAGUCCAGGGCUCAACCCUGGAAUGCCGGUGGAUACUGUCGGGCUAGAGUCCGGAAGGGGCGAGUGGAAUUCCUGGUGUAGCGGUGAAAUGCGCAGAUAUCAGGAGGAACACCAAUGGCGAAGGCAGCUCGCUGGGACGGUACUGACGCUGAGACGCGAAAGCGUGGGGAGCAAACAGG